GAGUUUGAUCUUGGCUCAGAUUGAACGCUGGCGGCAUGCCUUACACAUGCAAGUCGAACGGCAGCGCGGGCAACCUGGCGGCGAGUGGCGAACGGGUGAGUAAUAUAUCGGAACGUACCCUGGAGUGGGGGAUAACGUAGCGAAGGUUACGCUAAUACCGCAUACGAUCUAAGGAUGAAAGUGGGGGCUUCGCAAGAACCUCAUGCUCCUGGAGCGGCCGAUAUCUGAUUAGCUAGUUGGUAAGGGUAAAAGCCUAACCAAGGCUUCGAUCAGUAGCUGGUCUGAGAGGACGACCAGCCACAC
rnacentral:rRNA from 1 species